rnacentral:rRNA from 1 species
GAUGAACGCUGGCGGCAAGCUUAACACAUGCAAGUCGAACGCCGUAGCAAUACGGAGUGGCAGACGGGUGAGUAACACGUGGGAACGUGCCUUUCGGUUCGGAACAACUGAGGGAAACUUCAGCUAAAACCGGGUACGCCCUUCGGGGGAAAGUUUACGCCGAAAGAUCGGCCCGCGUCAGAUUAGGUAGUUGGCGGGGUAAUGGCCCACCAAGCCGAUGAACUGUAGCUGUUCUGAGAGGAAGAUCAGCCACACUGGGACUGAGACACGGCCCAGACUCCUACGGGAGGCAGCAGUGGGGAAUAUUGGACAAUGGGCGCAAGCCUGAUCCAGCUAUGCCGCGUGGAUGAAGAAGGCCUUCGGGUUGUAAAGUCCUUUCGGCGGGGAAGAUAAUGACGGUACCCGCAGAAGAAGCCCCGGCUAAUUUCGUGCCAGCCGCCGCCGUAACAC